AUGUUUUCCAUUUGGGAGAAGAGAAGAGCACAUGAUGCUGAAGAGGGUUUUCUCUUCCUUUCUAGACCCUGUAGCUGGCCAUUCACAAAGUGCAUCUUUGAUGUCCUCCUCUUCCUUCUCAACUCCCCACUUCCCCAUCUCCAGCUCCAUGGGAAACCCCACAUAAUUGGGCCACACGCAUCCCUAAGCCUCCAUCAGUACCCCUCAGCUUUCUCCAGGAGUACCAGGCUCACCAGUCACCUGCCCUUGUUCUCCCCAACCAAAUUUCCACCUGCUAAGUGUCAACAUCUUCACGAAGCAUCUAGAGGAAAGCACCUGGAUCAUACCAGUUCACACUCUAAGCUGUUACUGCUUUUUCUCUCCUCUUCUCUGCUACGCUACUCCUUCAAACUCAAAGCUCUAUAUUGUUGGGCUCCCCCAGACCCCUUCUUCCCUCAAGCACAGUGAGACCAGGCAGAGAAAGCAGGAGCCCAGGCUGAAGCAACUGUUAUCCUAUACACGCCGAUUGCCACCCAGGUGUGGUAUGGCAGGGACUGCCAACACACAGGUGCAGAGCAGCCUCACUCUGUGCAAAUAUCCCCUCUCGCCCAGGCAUGGGAAACAUUCCCUGCUUUCUGCUUGAAAAAACAGCAAGCACAAAUCUUUUCAACUUUCCAUUAUUCAUUAAAAAAUUUUCAGGUAACAAAUUGUACAUUAAAUGAAUUGUUUAAAGUAUACAACAAAAGCCCAGAGAAGACUGUAACUUAGAAUGGUUGCGAAUAGCGAAAGAAAACCAACCACCUUCACUGGAAUCUAGCUUCACCACAACCCACUGGAGCAUGGAAUUUUUAAUGACACAGGUCAACAUUGGCGCAUAUCCAAGGAGCUUAUUUUACUAGAAGGACUGGAAGACAGUCCCCUCCAGCUCUUACUUGGUCCCCAAGCUUAGACCAAAGAUGAUUAUUAUGCAUGACUCUUGGCUAUAAGGAAAAUUUCCCCUGUGGGAUUGUAAGUGGAGGACAAUUCGAAUGGUAAACACUGUGCUCUUCUCUGAAUCCUCUUCUCCAAAACAGAGACUUGUAUUGAAGAACCAAAGCCAUAGCACAAUUUCCAGAGAGGCUUCUAGGUGCAAGCACUGUGCCAAGAAAGCCACAGUGAAGUCCUUCAGUAGGGAAAUGAAACAUCUACAUAAAAACUUCUCAAAGAAUGCUGAGAGGAGAAAAGCCAGGAAGGUAAAAUGCUGCAGGCAUCAGAGCCUGAGAAAGUUGACUAUCUGGGACUGGGGUAUGAGGGAAGGUCUUCCGGCAGCAACAAAACUGGUUAGGAUUUAGAGAGAUGAAAUGGAGCAGAAAGGGCACCCAGGAAGAGCAAAGGGUGUUUUAGAUGACAGCACCCCAGGUAUUCUUCAGAAAGCAUCUGUGAAGAUAUGGCUGGAUACAGCAUCCAGAGAUAGUCAACCACCCCUUCUCCCCCAGGGCCAACUGGGCCCUGUAAGUGCAUCUACCGGGUCACCUAAAUCCACCUCCCAAAACAGGCUCUCAAAAAUUCUUCCUGGCGGGUUACAGCACCCCAGGCCUUGGCUGUGCCCAUUCUGACAGGGACCCCACCCUAUCCCUACCAGGAGUUCUUACCAGAAACACAAGGAAAUGCACUAAUCUUGCAGGGAUCUAAAUGACCUAGUGGCAAAUUUUGCAUGAUGCAACCCAAAUUAAGAACCAUGUGGAAAUAAAACUUUUCCACAAGUGACUCCUCCUUAAUAUCUAUUGAGGGUGCUCCCUCUUUAAAAUGAUGCUGCUAAAUCUUUGAAUGAUGGAUGAUGGAUCUCUCCUACAUUGAAUAAUUAGUUGAGUCAGUUGUACCAAGUGUCUCAUGACUUAAAUAUAAGGCAAGGGGGGGGGCGGUGCCGGGACAUAAAUUUGCACUGUGCAUUUAACAUCAGUUACAAUGGAGGACUUUUGCUUCUAGGUUAUUCAUUAUCACAGCACUAGAGGACUUUAACAAAAAAGACGUAGCCAUUCUCCUAGUGGCCAGUGAAAGUGAGAUCCAGGUCCAAAAUUGUAUUUUCUAGGACUUGAUGUAGCUAAUCUCUCCAGGAACAAUCUCUUGAGCACUUUUCCUUGAAAUACUGUCGCUAGGGACCGCCUCAGAAAGAGUUUAUAUUUUUCACCUUUGUGCUGCACACACAAAAUGCAGUGGAGACCCAAGGCAAACAUCUGAAGGGGCGAAGGAAGCCCUACCGGGGUGUCCUCCAGCCCAUGUGAGGCUGGCUCUCGUCCCCUCGGGAGUCGCCUGCCUCAGUUUUCCCCUGGAAAUGGGGCGGGAGAGGGACACUCUCACGCCAGGUACAACUGGGUGAGGCUGGGUGCCCUCGGCGGCUUUACUGACUGGUUCAGGGAUUACAAGCCCCUCUCUCCCCUUCUCCACGCCUCGGGAACCGAGCUCCAGGGUCUCCUCCUCACCUUUCCUCUGCUGGCCGGGCGCGCCGGGGUCCCCAAGUUGCAGCGUUCUUCUGGAACGUGCCUGUCGCUAACGGCGUCGGGUGUCCCCGCUACUGUGUGUCAGCGGCGGAGCGGAUGCCAGGAGCGCGCAGAGCCGGGCAAGUGCCCGGGAGGCGCAGCCCGGGAGGCACAGCCGGGGCGCGCCGCCGCCGCUCCCGC
rnacentral:lncRNA from 1 species